rnacentral:rRNA from 1 species
UACGUAGGGUGCGAGCGUUAAUCGGAAUUACUGGGCGUAAAGAGCUCGUAGGUGGUUUGUCGCGUUGUUCGUGAAAACUCACAACUCAAUUGUGGGCGUGCGGGCGAUACGGGCAGACUGGAGUACUGCAGGGGAGACUGGAAUUCCUGGUGUAGCGGUGGAAUGCGCAGAUAUCAGGAGGAACACCGGUGGCGAAGGCGGGUCUCUGGGCAGUAACUGACGCUGAGGAGCGAAAGCGUGGGGAGCGAACAGG